rnacentral:rRNA from 1 species
AUUGAACGCUGGCGGAAUGCUUUACACAUGCAAGUCGAACGGUAGAGGGGGCAACCCCUCGAGAGUGGCGAACGGGUGAGUAAUAUAUCGGAACGUGCCCAGUCGUGGGGGAUAACGUAGCGAAAGUUACGCUAAUACCGCAUACGAUCUAAGGAUGAAAGCGGGGGAUCGCAAGACCUCGCGCGAUUGGAGCGGCCGAUAUCAGAUUAGGUAGUUGGUGGGGUAAAGGCUCACCAAGCCAACGAUCUGUAGCUGGUCUGAGAGGACGACCAGCCACACUGGAACUGAGACACGGUCCAGACUCCUACGGGAGGCAGCAGUGGGGAAUUUUGGACAAUGGGCGAAAGCCUGAUCCAGCCAUUCCGCGUGCAGGAUGAAGGCCCUCGGGUUAUAAACUGCUUUUGUACAGAACGAAAAGGUUUCUACUAAUACUAGGAGCUCAUGACGGUACUGUAAGAAUAAGCACCGGCUAACUACGUGCCAGCAGCCGCCGCCG